UCCCUGAUGGUCCAGUGGCUAAGACUCCAUGCUCUCAAUGCAGGGGCCCAGGUUCGAUCCCUGGUCAGGGAA
rnacentral:tRNA from 1 species